rnacentral:rRNA from 1 species
GAUGAACGCUGGCGGCGUGCCUAAUACAUGCAAGUCGAGCGAAGCGGGGACGGGUGAGUAACACAUUGAUAACCUCCUAUAAGACUGGGAUAACUUAGGGCAACUGGAGCUAAACCGGAUACUUAUAGAUUGAUACGCGAUGCAUUGGCUAGUUGGUAAGGUAACGGCGUACCAAGUCAACGAUGAAUAGCCGACCUGCGAGGGGGAUCGGCCACACUGGAGCGGAGACACGGUCCAGGCGCCUACGGUAGGCAGCAGUAGGCAAUCUUCCGCAAGAGGCGAAAUCCUGACGCAGCAACGCCGCGUGAGUGAUGAAGGUCUUCGGAUCGUAAAACUCUGUUAUUAGGGAAGCGGUACUUAAUCAGAAAGCCACGGCUAACUACGUGCCAGCAGCCGCGGUAAUAC